ACUUUGAGCAUGUUUGUGUAGGAUAGCUGGGAGGCUUUGAAGUGGGAACGCCAGUUCUCAUGGAGCCAACCUUGAAAUACCAGCCUGACAUGUUUGAGGUUCUAACUUGGUCCCCUUAUCGGGGAUGAGGACACUGUGUGGUGGGUAGUUUGACUGGGGCGGUCUCCUCCCAAAGCGUAACGGAGGAGCACAAAGGUG
rnacentral:rRNA from 1 species